AUUGAACGCUGGCGGCAGGCCUAACACAUGCAAGUCGAGCGAGCGGCGGACGGGUGAGUAAUGUCUGGGAAACUGCCUGAUGGAGGGGGAUAACUACUGGAAACGGUAGCUAAUACCGCAUACCAUCAGAUGUGCCCAGAUGGGAUUAGCUAGUAGGUGGGGUAACGGCCCACCUAGGCGACGAUCCCUAGCUGGUCUGAGAGGAUGACCAGCCACACGGGAACUGAGACACGGACCAUACGCCUACGGGAGGCAGCAGUGGGGAAGAGUGCACAAUGGGCGCAAGCCUGAUGCAGCCAUGCCGGGUGUGUGAAGAAGGCCUUAGGGUUGUAAAGCACUUUCAGCGGGGAGGCGUUACCCGCAGAAGAAGCACCGGCUAACUCCGUGCCAGCCGCCGCGGUAAUUC
rnacentral:rRNA from 1 species